GUGCUCACCUCGGCAGCACACACACUAAAGUUGGGACGGUACAGAGAUGAGCGUGGCCCUGCACCAGGAUGACACACAGAUGCAGGAGCAUUAUGAGAGGGAU
ensembl:snRNA U6 U6 spliceosomal RNA